AGAUGCUUACCUUUUAACUCUUCCAGUAAAAGCUUGUUUUCAUGGUGAUAACAAGAAAGAGGUACCAGGACUCCCUCAGCAGAAUCUUUCAGAGGAAUGAAGGAGUAGCUGCAGCCAAAAUCAUUGGUCCUCAUACGGUGCUGAUUUUAUCACCUGGAAAGGACAGGAUGGUCCUCUGCAAAGCAAGCACAUG
rnacentral:lncRNA from 1 species